rnacentral:rRNA from 1 species
AUUGAACGCUGGCGGCAGGCCUAACACAUGCAAGUCGAGCGAGCGGCGGACGGGUGUGUAAUGUCUGGGAAACUGCCUGAUGGAGGGGGAUAACUACUGGAAACGCUAGCUAAUACCGCAUACCAUCAGAUGUGCCCAGAUGGGAUGAGCUAGUAGGUGGGGUAACGGCUCACCUAGGCGACGAUCCCUAGCUGGUCUGAGAGGAUGACCAGCAACACGGGAGAUAAGACACUGACCAGACCUCGACGGGAGGCAGCGGUGGGGAAUAUUGCGCAAUGGGCGCAAGCCUAAUGCAGCCAUGCGGCGUGUGUGAAGAAGGCCUUCGGGUUGUAAAGCACUUUCAUCGUGGAGGCGUUACCCGCAGAAGAAGCACCGGCUAACUCGGUGCCAGCAGCCGCGGUAAUUC